ensembl:lncRNA LINC01278 long intergenic non-protein coding RNA 1278
GUGCUUCCAGCGGGUGGUGGGGGGCCUGGUGUGCUGGCAUCAAGUAAGCCGACUACCUCGGCAAAGGCUUAGGGACAAGAGACCAGCAGCCUGAACUGGCUGGGGCAUCCGGAAGGCUUAGAUCUUGUGGCCAAGAGUUCAGACCGUGGCGAAGUGGAGAGUGACAUGCAGUUGGAUGGCGGUGACUGCGUGGUAUGGAAGAAAAUUCAGCUGAAAUUUGCUAGAAAAUGAGUUGUUUUGGAAAGAGACUGUAGAGAAAGGCAAAUGGAAGAAGAAAGCUUCUGUGCCCCCACAGAUACCGACUGAAAAGUGUUAGCAUGAGCAAAAGUUCCUAUCUAAUAUUAUAUGCUUUCCUUUGCUCCCAGAUGAUGUCAGAAGUGGGAUCCAAAGUAGAGCUUAUAAUGACACCUAGGAGUGCUGAGUGACCAAGCAAGGUACCCACCAGGCCGAUUAUGUCCAUUGUUCUCUUGGAGCAGCUGGUCAUCAUGAACCUGAAGAUCAGAUCUUCUGAGAACAUCAGAAAAAGACUUCCCUUGCCAUCCACACUGCAGCAAAACUUCAGGACCUUAAAUGCUGGGUUCAUAAUUUCACAACUGAGAAGGGACCCUCCACACUCUUGGAACUGUACACCUAGACCAAACUAAAAUACAGUCACUCUUGCUAAAUGUAACAUAAUCAAACUAAGACUUUAAGGAAACAAGCAAAUCCUAGAAAAGACCAGGUUUUUGUAUUUUUUUUCCUCCUGUAAACAGUACCUUCCAACAUAAGGAGGUACCCUCUACUCUAACACUUACAAAAAUAAUAAGAAUAAUAACCUGGAGUCCUUGUAAGGUGAAACCUUACAAAACCCACUGCUCUGCUGUUUCCUAGUGGGUUUCAAGAGGAAAUAAGUACUUUUACAGUGGUGAUGGUGAAAUCAAUGACUAACAUUUUGGUCAAUCUCCCACAAUUUAGAGAAUGACCAAAACGGGGGAAUUGUUAAAUCAAGUUUAUCCUAAAUUGAUGGGAUCAAUCAUACUCCAAACCUUGACACUGCACAAUAUACCCAUGUAACAAACCUACACAUGUACCUCCUGAAUCUAAAAUAAAAGUUGAAAUUCUAAAAAAUGAAAUUAUUCUGGAGCUUUAAGAUUCAAUGCCUCUCUGCUGGGUUUUAUACUUGCUUAGAACCUCUUACUUCUUUCUUUCUUUGAUUCAUUUCUCCCUUUUGGAAUGGAAAUGUCUAAACUAUGUGCAUUCCACCAUUUUAUCUCAGAACUAAAUAACUUUUUUUAUAGGCUCAUAACUGGACUUUGGUCUUUUAAGUUGGUGCUGAAACAAGUUAAGACUUUAGAGACUGAUGGAAUUAUUGUAUUUUGUAUUCGAGAAGAACAUGACUUUUAGGGGGCCAGGAACAGAAUGCUAUGGUUUGGGUAUAGUUUGUUCUGUUGAAACUCGUGUUGGAAUUUGAUUUCCAAUGUUGCACUGUUGGGAGGAGGAUUCCAGUGGGAGGCAUUUGAGCUAUGGGGGUGAAUCCCUCAUUAAUACACUAAUACCUUUUCAUGGGGAUGAAUGAGUUCUCCCUCUCAUGGGAAUGGACUAGUUUCUAAGAUAUUGUGAUGGCAAAAUAUUCUGGCUCCUUUAGUUUCUAUAUCUUGCUUCCUCUGUUGCCAUGUGCUCCUUUGCACACACACUCUCCUGUUCCUCUUUCCACCAUGAGUGCUAGCCAUACCUUUCCUAUUCCUUUCCUCCUAUAACCUGUCUUGCCAUGCUUCAAGUCUGAAACCCUCAU